rnacentral:misc_RNA from 1 species
GACUAAGCCAUCUACAGAAAGACUCAUGCAUAUCUUUCUGUUGCGGAAAUUUCUUCAUGUUCAUGCAUUUCAAGUAAAAUGUUUAGAAGUUAGGUCCUUUCUCUUGGUGUAUUUCUCUCUUGCAUAUAUCAUUCACUGGUUUCUUCUGUUUUUAGCUUUGUCUGUUACAUUUUUGGCGUCUCGAGGGUGAACUCAUCACCGAUAGCUGGUAUUCAGAAUUGUCAGCUUAAUUUACAUGUGAAAGUUGGAUUUGGGGAAACAAAUGAUGUUUAGAAAGGUGAAUAUUUAGCAGC